CGCGUAGGUGGUUUUCUAAGUUGGAUGUGAAAGCCCAGGGCUCAACCCUGGAACUGCAUUCAAAACUGGGAGACUAGAGUACGAUAGAGGGGGUAGAAUUCAGAGUGUAGCGGUGAAAUGCGUAGAUAUUCUGAGGAAUACCGGUGGCGAAGGCGGCCCCCUGGAUUGAUACUGACACUGAGGUGCGAAAGCGUGGGGAGCAAACA
rnacentral:rRNA from 1 species